AAUAAGAAUGUCUAGAGUAAUCAAGUUACCAAUUGUUUGAUAUCAAGCACCAGUCCCCGGCAUUGGCGCUAAAAACUUAUUUGCUAGUUUUAUAACCACUGCAAGUGCACAAAUUACUAACAAGUAAUAAAGUGAUGAGUAGAGUAUCGUUCUCACGAGGAUCGUGUUAAAUACCAAACUACAGUGAUUUUAAUUAUCUAGGCGAU
rnacentral:misc_RNA from 1 species